AGUUGUGAGGGUGAGAGACUAAGAUCCAGUCUAGGGUACUUCCACUGCAGAAGUCUUUAGAGGGCCUAGUAGGGAGGAUGAUGAGCUGAGAGUACUUAUAAAGGUUGAUGUUUAGGCGGUGUGUAGGUGAAUGAAUGGAAGACCAAUUAAUAUUAGUGUCUCCCAUGAUAAUAGUUUC